UACAGAGGUGGCAAGCGUUGUUCGGAAUUACUGGGCGUAAAGGGCGCGUAGGCGGCCUUCUAAGUCAGACGUGAAAUCCCCCGGCUUAACCUGGGAACUGCGUCUGAUACUGGGAGGCUUGAGUAUGGGAGAGGGAUGUAGAAUUCCAGGUGUAGCGGUGAAAUGCGUAGAUAUCGGGAGGAACACCAGUGGCGAAGGCGACUUCCUGGCCUGUUCUUGACGCUGAGGCGCGAAAGCUAGGGUAGCAAACGGG
rnacentral:rRNA from 1 species